AUUUUGUUCCUGGAGCUGCAGAUUGAAGCCUGGACCUUAAGCAUCAAGGCUAGUGUUAUAAUCUCCUCCUGAUUUGGUUGCAAACUCUAUGGAGAAUGAUGGAGUCCUAGUGCCCCUUUGGAGUCUGAGGGAUUCCCUCUUGGUGAACAAGAAUGGCUGACAAACUCAGACAUCUGGUCAACCUGGCUUCUUCAAAGUUUGUGGAGAAAAGUAGACAACAGCUUUUCAGAAACAAAUUGCCCAGAGUCAAACUCAGAUUUGUGUUGCCACAGAAUGGCAGCACUAGAUGGUUAGCUUCAAAUGUAGGGCAGGCAACUCCCCUGUGUCUGAAGUCUGGCUCCCACUCAACUCUGCCAUGGCCACUCAGUAACAGGAGUCUUCUAACCACAUGGUUUCCAGAUGCCUCACCUGUAAAAUGAAUAUGAGGGUCCUGCAUUUUCUAAAGCCGUCAUUGACACUGCUGAUACUUCCUUCCUCUGAAUAAACGCAAGCUGCUAGCCUCUUGAUUAGCAGAGUAAGAACAGAUGAGAAGGACUCCUGGCUAGCACUGGGGAUUAGCUACCUUUUCCACUUCUGGGAUAACUUUUGGAUUGUGCAUUGUGCAAUUCAGUUCUGGACAUGGAGGCAAGCAGUUCUGGUCUCUGGUCCACCAGCCGAUGAUUUAAGCUCUGAGGACAGAGUCCUUCUCCUAUGGGAAAGGCCCCAGUGGGCAUACGUGGAGGCACAGCUCAGCCAGGAGAGAUUACUACAUCUGGGAGGCUUGACUGCAUUUCUCUUUGUGAUAAGUUUUGACGCAUUUCACCCCAAGUAUUUCUGAAAUAUAUCUACCUA